ensembl:lncRNA
CCAGGGGUCUCUGGUUAUCUUAAGGAGACCCUAGCCAUUGCUGUCGGGUUUUAGUGUAGCCUACUGUACGUCCCAGUCAUGUGAUGACUGCAAAAUAACUAAAGUCCACGUGAGUCCAAAAAAUUUAAAUGUCAUAUUAUUAAAUGGUGACUGAAAAGGACUGGAUGCAUUUCUAUAGCCUACAUACUUAAACGUUUGCACACACUGGACAUUUUUAUAUUAUUACUGAACACUAUAAAUAUUUUGAAGAUUUUUUGCCAAAAAUGUAUUUUUAAGCUGGCAAAAGCAGUUCAUUAAAUGGUCGGUAAGAGUCCAUCGAAAGUCACUUUCACUUCGACAUGAAUGUAGUCAGAGCCGGCCAAGCCACUAAACGACCUUUGCAAUUGCAAAGGGCCCCGUGGCCAGCAGAGGGCCCCUAGAGUCACUGCUGGCUAGUGGGUGAAAAAAAUCAUACAUCAAAAGUAACAUAAAAUAAAUAAAUAAAAACAAAUGUGCCUACAGUGCUCUUUAUCAGACAUCAUGAUAAGCACAGUUGUUAUUUAGUUCUUUAUCAUGGCGAGUUCCCCGCGAAUCUUGACCCUGACUGACCCCUAUGAUGUCACUCGUCACCUGGUCAGUGUCUGUCAGUCAGUUACUCCGACGUCGGCGAUGUCUGACAAGAAACGAAAAUAUCUUUUUGGCCAUGAAAAACAACAAAAGAAGAGAAGAAGCAAGAAGAUAAAGAUCUCAGAGCCUAGGCUGCCUACAGAGACGCGUUUUUUUGACGGCCUGCUGAUGGGGCCGGCAGCUAGCGGAUCGUUAGGAAAGAUUAGAUGAAUGUGAUCAUUUAUGGUUGGGCCUUUUUUUCGGCCUGAAAUCGCUGAUACAACCUUCAAUUUUUUGUUUUUUAGCAACUUACUUUUUUCCAGGGAGACCAUGUAUGCAUGUGCACGCACAUGUUUGGAUUUUAAUAGUUCUAUUGAAAUGUUACCUAAUUCUUAUUAUUGUUACUAUUAAUCUUGUUUGUGGUGUUUUAGAUGUUAUUGUUAAUUUUGUUUAUUUGAAAAAUUCAAACAUUUAAAUGUUUUAUUUAUUAUUUAUUUUAUAUAAUAUUUUAUUUAAAUGUUAUUCUGUUUGCUCUAUUUCAUUUAAAUUAUAUAUAGGCUGUUGUUUGUGCCUCUUAAACUCUGGUGUCAAUUAAAAAUGUUUCUUUGAUGGUCAGUGAAAAUCACUUUAUCAGUCUUUUUAUUCAGCAAGUUCAUCAGUGUGUGUUUGUUGCACUGCCAUUCAGCUCAGUGGUAUCAUAAUUUUCCUGUUAGACAUCAAACAUGGAACUCAACUCAAAAACUCAAGGUCUUUUAUUGUCAUUCUGUACAUGUUGCCACAUAAGAACGAAAUACUCAGGACCAGCAGCGUGAAAAAGAUAAUUAACAUACAGCAUACAUAGAAUAAUUCAAACAAUUUAAUAGACUAAAAAAAGUUAAAAAUAACAUAGUAGAUAUAAUAUGUACAGUAUAGUUAUAAGGUAGUCAUUGCUUUUCUUUAGGCCUUACUUAAAACGGUCAAAAGGGCCUCCAACCAAAUUUUGCUUAGGGCCCCCAAAGGUAUAGGGCCGGCUCUGAAUGUAGUGCUAAAAUAACCUAAUCACAUACAGCCUCAGUGCUAAGGGUAAUAUUAAUUAUGACAUACCGCACCUAUAGCAUAUUUUCAUUUACACUUUUUAUUGUAUUCCUGUGAAGGGAAGCAGAAAUGUUUCUCUCCCCCCUCUGGAUAUUCUGAAGCGGAACCCUUUCUCACUGCCUUUUUCAUUGCCUUGUAAUGUAUAUUAUGCAGGGCAUCAAAUAUUCACCUCUUUCUUGCAUUUUGCAAUAGUAAGAUAGGUUUUUAUGAGGGAUUUUUUUUUUCUUUUCCAAUUCUCUCUAUAGUUUUGGAUUGUUCUGUUGUCUAUUUGUUCCCUUUACAUUCUUGAUGGUCUGUAUGAAUGUCUUAUACUAUUGACAUUGACAUGAUCCUAUAAAAGUCAGGCGUAAUAGUAAGUGGCAAUGCAAAAACAUUUUGAUAAUAAAUUUUUUUGUAAAACUAAAAAGGAUUUUUUU